UACGAAGGGGGCUAGCGUUGUUCGGAAUUACUGGGCGUAAAGCGCGCGCAGGCGGUCUUCCAAGUCAGUGGUGAAAGCCCGGAGCUCAACUCCGGAACUGCCAUUGAAACUGUUGGACUUGAGUAUGAGAGAGGUGAGUGGAAUUCCCAGUGUAGAGGUGAAAUUCGUAGAUAUUGGGAAGAACACCGGUGGCGAAGGCGGCUCACUGGCUCGUAUCUGACGCUCAGGCGCGACAGCGUGGGGAUCAAACAGG
rnacentral:rRNA from 1 species